rnacentral:snRNA from 1 species
UGCCACAAUACUAGAAGGACGUCAAAAUUGGAACGAUACAACGAAGAUUAGCAUGGUCUCUGCCCAACGAUGACACACAUCAUGAAUCGAGAAGGACGUCAAUGUG